ACAAUUUUUUAAAAAAAGAAUUAUAUUCAAUGCCUUAUGCAGAUGGGAAAGCACACUGACACUGAAUGUACUAUGGCCCAUUUUGAGGUCUUUACCGUGAUGUUAUUAAGGCAUAGGGGUUUACUUUUCAUAGGUUUUGAAUUUUAAUUAUUUGUUAAAAAAUUCAUCCAAUAUGGUCUGAAUAUUCAUUUAAAAGCAUUGUAGCUAGAUAGGAGAGUAUUUAUCUAGCAUACAUGAGGCCCUGGGGUCAAUCCCUUGUACUAAAAAUCUGCAUAAGGUUUCCAUUUGGAUGUUGUCUAGUGGUCAGUUUUGAAUGGUUAUUGCUAUCAUAUCAUUUCAUAUCAUAUCAUAUCAUAUCAUGUCAUGUCAUGUCAUAUCAUUUCAUAUCAUAUCAUAUCAUAUCAUAUCAUAUCAAUAUCCUGUGUUGUCUCAGGAAACUGUGUCUGCCCUAAGAGGCAAAGGUGUUCCUGGCCUUUGUUCUAGAAACAAAGUAGUUUUAGUUUUUCCACUCACAUCUAAGGUCCAUGUCAGACACACAUAUAUGUAUUUUGAGGUUGGACUUUGGGUCCUGGGCUGUCAUAUUGCUUCAGCCCUGUAUUGAAAAUCAAAUGUGUACGCAUGUGGACCCACUGCUGCACCCCUUCUGUUUACUGAGCUUCUGGGUCCUAUUCCACCCCAGCCUCCCCAGCCCCUGGAAGCUGACUGAGCCCUGACCAACCUUUAGCUUUGUUCUUCACUUCCAGGAUGGCUUUAGCUGCUUCAACCCUUUGCUUUCUAAACAUAAACUAUUCGUUUUCACAUUAGAAACCCAGAGUGGUUGAGAGGGGCUGUUGGUAAUACAGACACACAUCUUACCUAUGUUGAAUUUCCCAAUGCAGAGGAGUGGGUUGUGUCUCCUUAUUUAUUUAAACUCUUAACUUUGUUUUAGAGUUUUCAGGUGGAAAUCUUGUGUGCAGAACAUAUAUCCCUGAGAUUUCUUUCUUUCUUUCUUUCUUUCUUUCUUUCUUUCUUUCUCUCUUUCUUUUUCUUUUUCUUGAUGCAAUUACAAGUAGAAAAACUGAAUUGUUUUCCAGUUGUCUGCUGUUAAGAUAUGAAGCCAUAAACGAGCCAAAUGGGGUGGCCCACGCCUGUCACCUCAGUACUUGAGAGGCUGAUGCAGGAGGAUUGGGAUUUCAAGGUCCUGAGCUAUAAGGCAAGACCCUGUUUCAAAGCAAAAACAUAACAGACGUUAAAAAAAAUCAAGUGAUUUUUAAAAAUAUAACCAUGCAUCCUACAAAUUUAGUGGGUUUACUCAUCACUUCUGGUGUCCUGGACACGUGUAACCUGACACUCUUGCUGUGUGUGUUUCUUGGCUGUCAAGUGUUUCUUUCUCACGUCCACUGUUCUGCCUGGCACCAGAAGCAGAGGAUGUGUGACUAUGCUUGCCUUGUUCCCAACCUUAGAGGAGGGUGUCCAGUUUGCAUCUUUGUAGGUGUCCUUCAUCAGAUUAGAGAGGGUGGGUCCUGUCUUAGUGUUGAUUCUAUUGCUGACAUGAGACACCAUGACCACAGCAACUCUCCUAAAAGAAAGAGUUUACCCGUGGCUCCUGAAAGUUAGCUAAAAUGAACAGUUUCAGAAGUCUAGUCAUUUUUCAUCAGGAUGGGGAACAUGGUGCCAUGCAGGCAGAUAUAAUGCUGGCGAUGGAGCUGAGAGGUCUAACACCCAGAUUCGAGGGCAGCAGGAGGAAGGAAAAAGGAGCCUUUGAGCUUGGCUUGGGCAUCUCAAAGCCCAUCCCCAGUGAUAUACGUCCUCCACCAUACCCACUCCACCAUGGCCACCCUUCCUCAUCCUUCUAAGUAGUGCCAUCUGAUGACUAAGCAUUGAAAUAUGUGAGCCAAUAGAGGCUAUUCUCAUUCAGGCUACCACAGGUCCCAUUUAUGGUUCUCCUUCCCCUCUUCCUUUUCCUCCCAAAUAAGGUCUUUGAAUAUGAAAGAUUAUGCCAGGGUUUUACAACUAAAAACAGCACAGAUGCUUAUUUAUUCUUGUGGUAGUUUGAAUAGGAAUGGCCCCACAGACUCACGUGCUUGAAUGCUUGGCCCAUAGGGAGUGACACUAUCAGAGGUGUGACCUUAUUGGAAUAGGUAUGUCCUUGUUGGAGGAAGUGUGUUAUUGUGGAGAUGGGCUUAUAUGACCAAGUUAUGCCCAGUGAUAUGACUCCCUUCAGCUGCCUGCAGAUCAAGAUGUAGAACUCUCAGCGUUUUCUCCAGCACCGUGUUUGCCUGAACUCUGCCAUGCUUCCCACCAUGACGAUAAUGGACUAAACCUCUGACACUAAUCCAGCCCCGAUUAAAUAUUUUCUGUUAAGAGUUGCCUUGGCCAUGAUGUCUCUUCACAGCAAUUGAAACCCCAAUGCUGUUUUAAAGAGGCUAGUUGUCAGUUUAAUGAUGGGGAUGUGCUAAUCUAACAGUUGUCUCCUUUGCCUCUGUGUAGUGCUUGUUCCGAGGUGGGCAAGGCUGAGCCCAUACACAGGCUGGGCAGUACCCUCUAUGCAGUCUCCUCUUCAGGACCUGUUCUACCAAACUCUUCUACUGUAGCACUGUGCUUCCUGUAUCUCAAUACUUUAUGCACUAAGACUAUCUCCAUCAAAGUCUUAUCUAUAUAAAGUAGGUUAACUCUGGCCCGUCCUCAGCAAAGAGGGACUUGGCCAAGCUGUCGUUUCCCAUGGAUACCCAUGAUGCUUCUCCAAUCUUUGCUGUUGUUUCCCAGUAAACCUAGAGGUUUUUCUUCAUGAUUAUUUAGAGGUCAGAGUAUAGACAGGGUUAGCCUGUCUUCAGGAAGAGCCAGGAACAGGACCCUUUAGAUCUGAGAAAUUUCUCUGCUCAGAAAACGUUUGUUAUGUUAGAGUUGUUUUUUCUAUUUUAAAUGUUUGCAAGAUUUACAGUGACAUCAACUACCUGGAGUAAGUUUACAAUGAAGGGUUCAUUGUGCAACAACUUUAGCAGAUGUGAGGUUCUUCAUUUUGUCUGUUUAUCUGUCUGGGUUACUUUCUCAUACCCAGUUACACCAAGGGACACAGCCUGCACGUAGGGGCCUUUCUUUGCUGCUUCUGUCUGCAGGGUCAAUCAUGAGGUGGCUCAUUAGUUACUUCUUCAAGCUUUCCUUUUGGUAAUUACUUUCUUCUCUUUCACUCUUGCCAAGUUCUUCUAGGUUUUCUUCAGUUUUUCUGUUGUGUAUCUGUUUCCACAGCAUACAUUUCUAGGACUAACGUAUUUCCUUCCUUCUUAUUUCUUAAAAUUUUACUGGCUUUCCUAUCUGCUCUCCCAGGUAGAAGCUGAAAUGGCUAAUGUGACUCACAUUCUAGGAUCCAUAGUUAGAGCUCUAGAUCUGACCUUUAUGAGAACGACAAAGCAGAGAGAGUUAACAGGAAAUGGGGUGAGGCUGUGAACUCUCAAAGCUCUUCUAGCAGUGACCAGGGAAGGUACCUAAAGAUUCUAUCCCCGGGGGGGUUGAGGAUUUAGCUCAGUGGUAGAGCGCUUGCCUAGGAAGCGCAAGGCCCUGGGUUCGGUCCCCAGCUCCGAAAAAAAGAACCAAAAAAAAAAAAAAAAAGAAAAAAAAAGAUUCUAUCCCCAAUCAGUGACAUGAGCUGGGAAUCAAGUGUUAAACUAGCUGAAUAUGAGAGCUACUUCUCAUUCAAACCACUGCAAAAUUAUAGAUUAGCUAUGAGUGUGUAUAAGUGUGUGUGGCGGCAUAGAAUAACUUAUCUAUGUUAGAUCUGGAUGUGUAUAGUACAUGUGCACAAGGAGAUGGACACAAUUUCAGGUGUCAUUCCUCAGGUACAUCACCUUGUGUUUUAAGACUGGGUCUCUCAUCAGCCAAGAAUAUGGCAAGCAGGCUAGCCAGCCUGAGUGGCUGGUAAGACCCAAUGUUUUACUUCUCUUUGUUUCCCUGGUGCCACCACUACCAGUGUGUUUCACCAGGCACAGUCACCACACCCAGCUUUACAGACUAUAUUUUUGUUCUCUCUAUAGUUUAAGACAGGCAACUCCAUUCUAAAACACGGAUCUUAAGUUAGUACUUUUACUACUUCCAAAGUGAUUGAAGAAUCCUCUAAGAGGUCUUUGCUGUUUGCAUCUCCAUUUGAUGUUUAAAUGCCAUGCUGAUUUUUUUUAUACUUCUAUUACUGUAGAAAUAUCUUACGGUCAUUCUAAGUGACCAGCUUCUGAAACCUGCCCUGAAGGCUUUUCCCACAAAUCUCUGUCUGCUUGUAUGGCUUCAUCCUUCCUGCUAGUGUCCCACGGCUGACAUGCACGCCAUAAUGUCUUCAUACAUAGUGCUGACAUGACUUUUUCUGCUUUUUGUCUUUUUACAUGGUUCUUCCAUGGACUUAAAAAAAAAUCUCAUCAGCUAUUGAGUACCAGACUGGUGGCUUUCCUCUUUUCCUUCAAUUUUUAAGGGCAGACGUCCAUUGUCCUAUGACCCCAUAGUUUCAGUUGGGAGUCAGUCAUCUAUCUUUGUCCUUAUCUCCAUCGAAGAUCACCUGUGAUUUUUCUCUGGCAAACAUCAAGCUUCUCUUUGUCUUAUUCUACUUAUGUUUUAAUUUUCUUCCCUCCAUCCCUCCCUUCCUCUCUCCUUCCUUCUUUCUUUCUUUUUCUUUAUUUUUUCUGAAGGAGGGUCUUUCUCCAUAGCUCUACCUAUCCUGGAACUCACUGUGUAGACCAGCCUGGCCCCAAACACACAGAGAUUUUCUUGCCUCUGCCUCCUCCAGUGCUGGUAUUAAAGGGAUGUACUGCCAUGCCCUGAUUAUUGAUUUUUCUUGAAUCUGUGUGUUGAUAUCAUAAAGGACUAGGGAAAAAAACCCUAUCCACUCUUCCCCUAAACAUAGCUCUGCUCUGUCCCUGUCUCUUGUGGAUGCGUUGCUUGAGAUUUGGCCUGUUUGCGGAUUCUUCCUCAUUAUACUCUCUCUGAUUUUCUUCAUCUCUGUUUUCUCUGAUACCUGGUACUUUUCAUUGGCUUUUCAGUUAAUUUUAUUAAGUGGAAAUUUCUGGUUUCUUUGGAGACUCAGUUGUGUCAUGAGAUGUUGUUCUGGAAACUCUUAUGUGAGGAUAUUUUGCUGAAGCAAACAUCUGAUAGGGUGUUUUGCUGAGAACAGAUAUGUGGUGUUUUUCUGGAAGCUGUCUGGUAAAAGGGCAUGUGAUGUUUUGCUGGAGUCCAUGCUGAGAGGCCAUGUGAUGUUUGGAAAGGGUAUAAAAAUAACUCAACAGACAAUGGACGGACACUGCGUGGUAUUGGCUCACCUUGCCGCUCUUUGCUGGCCUUUCUUGGUCUUCGCUGAUGAUACUGUGGCAUUGGUUCACCUUGCUUCUUCACUGAACAUCAUCUGUCAGAGAGGAAGGCACCAAAGAACUUCUCGUGAUAUUCCAGUGGCUUCUUGCCACUGCCAGGAUUCAGGCUGAUUGGCAAAGACUCACGGUUUCUCCUGGAUGAAACUGCCAUUGCUGAUUCGUGAAUGGUGUUUGUGAGUGGACCAAGCUACCACUGCUGUUUCCUGUGAACUGAACUGCUGAUAUCCCAACAACAAAGACUGGAAUCACCCCAAAGAACUAUUUCUAAACAGAUCCACAUCCCCCUUUGCCCUAAUAACCUUUCUUUUCCACUGCCUCUGGUGGGCUGUGGGCUAGAAGGGAGGUUAAAGCAAUUAAGAAUCUUUAUUAAAGUAAGUUUUAUUUUAAAUAAAAUCAAAGCCUACAGUAUCAUUUUCAUAUAUAUUUGAACUCACCCAGUGGAUUACUAAAUUCCAGUAGGCUUUUAUUUGUAGAAAGUCUCCUGGGAACUUUCCUGUAAGAUUCUCAUUCUCCUUAAUUGUCCUUACAACAGUUCUUUUUGCUGUUGUUGAUUUCUUGAUUAUAUUUAGGGAGCAUUUUGAAGUUUUAACUUAAUGCAUUUGCUCUGAAGGCCUGUUUCUACCUUAUUUCUAUUACCUAAUUUUAUUGACUUUUUAAUAUUUCUUUACAUCUCUUGCAAAACCAUAGCAUCUUCUGAACGUGUGGCAGAGCUCACAAGUCUGGCAACGUCGUCAGCAGAUCUUUUUCAAAAGGUGCCUCCUCUCUCCUGACAGGUGGAUGGACUAUUCCAUGCCAGCUGGGACCUAAGCAUGCCUGGCUAAGACAUGCAGGGUGACACUGGCUAUGCUGUUUCUACCCAGAAGCCCUGCUGGCCAAUGCAUGUUCAGGAUAUAGCCAAUACAGCACGCUUGAGAAGACUCAGGAGAAACGACGAUGGAUCUUGAUGCUACAAUCUCCAGCUAGGCUGGUGUGGAGUGGGAGGUCUGCUCAGAGGCUGAUACCCCAGUGAUUCCUGGGAAAGACAAAGAGAAAAGCUCCCAGGGAGGCACUGGUUUGCCUGUGAACUUGACAGCAAUGCAGAGGGGGCAUUUCCUUGUUAUCAUCUGCCCAGAAAGAGCCAUCCAUCUCCCGGGCACGCAGCAUCUCUGUUUAAUAGCUGAUAGAGUGUCUCCAAAAGGCUGGUUUUGCUCUUUGUUUAAAAUGACAUAUAAUGGGGCUGGACUUAUCAGUGUCUCUAAAUGCAUUUUCUGUGCUCUGUCCCCACAGGGAGGGGGGCAGAUUUCGUCAAUUUUAAUGAAUAUGUGCAGGAUUGACUUUGAACUUGGUAUAAUUUAAUCCAUCAAUUUAACAUUCAAUGAAUAUGUAAAGGAAGCCACUCUGUGGAUGAAAAGCAGAAGGGACAUUCUUAUUAAUUUGAAAUGGACUUGAGGAACAACAUCUGCCACGGGCUAUGCUGGGCACCCAGGAAGCUGCCUGUGUCUGGAAACAACUGAAAGCUGUCUGGAGCCAUUCCAGAGCCCCUGCAGUGGCAGCUCCAACCUCGUGAGAAUGUAGAAGGUAGACUGGCUCAGCUGCAGAGCUCGAGGACACUUUGGCCAGAGCACCCUGGUACUGAGCUCCCGUUCAGAAGGGCAGGCCCUGUGGAGACUCCUGGAUAUAGGAUUCCUGUAAACCCCUUAAAGUGACACUGCAUACCUGGGCUAGAACCACUGACUCCAGGCUUCUUUAAUAGUCUGUCGGAACCUUUGCAGUGGUGGGGAGUGGGGAGGGGGCUGUAUAACGAAGGUGUGAGGAGAUAGAGGGCCUAGUGAAUUCUAGUUGCAGCUGGGGACGUGUGUGGAAUCCUCUCAAUUGCACACAGGUGUCCUGGACAUCGUGGGAGGUCAGAGAGAGCACGAGGCCUGGUUUGCAAGCAGAGGACCAGUUUGCAGUCUGGCUGGAAGCUUCCGUACCAGGAUGUUUAGGAGAUCUGAGAUCAAGCUAAUCAUCUGACCAGACUGGAUUUCAUCAGGAGGCACCAUCUGUUGAUGGAGAUUCGAAUCCUGACUCUGAGGUUCCAGAUUACCAAGAGUCGGACCUGAAGCAUGACUGCCCCAGCUUAGAGGUGAACACAACAGCGCCUUCUCUCAGUCCUCAAUCCCACGGCUCUGCUGUGACUUGCCGUGGGCCUUCAGAUCUUCCUGUGCCAUGGCAGGUAGCCCUUGAGGACAACCUGCAGCCACUGUUCUCUGAUACAUCAACCCAUGGGAUUCUGUCUCGUGUGGUGGUCUCAGCACAAGACCGUGUCAGGGAUUGUGAAAGAAAGACUGUGUCACUCCCCCCCUCCGAUUCCUGAGCUCUGCUUUCUGAUGCAUGGCCCAAUGCAGAGCUAAGCAGGAAGAGCGCUGCCAAACACGUCAGCAGAAGCUAUUAAAACCACAAGACACAGCCGUCAGGGGCAGCAGCAGAGAUGUCCGUGUUUCUUUUAGCUCCUGCUUGUUCUGUGCAAGCCCACUGGAAGCAUAGAAAUGGUGCCUGCCAUGGGAACCUACCCUUUGACUAGAAUGAUGACAGACUGACUUGUCCUCAAGGUCUCAAUGGAACGACCAUUGCUCUAGUGGAAGUGAGAGAAUGGGUGCUUCCCGAGCACCUUUUGUUUAAUUGAAGAAUCCUGGCUGUCUGAUGCAGCCCGGGAAGGCCAGGGUUGCUUCGUGCCUCUGCUCGGCCACUCUAUCCUUCUGUCUGUCAUUGAUCUAUGUGGCAUGAAAAUAAAGAAUGCAUACAAAACAUG